rnacentral:tRNA from 1 species
GGAGGCAUGGCCGAGAGGUCGAAGGCGGCCGUCUGAUACGCGGCUUCAGUGCGUUGUUGCUGACGUGGGUUCGAACCCCACUGCCUCCG